GAUGAACGCUAGCGGCAGGCUUAACACAUGCAAGUCGAGGGGUAACAGGGUUGCUUGCAACCGCUGACGACCGGCGCACGGGUGCGUAACGCGUAUAGAACCUACCUUUUACUGAGGGAUAGCCUUUAGAAAUGAAGAUUAAUACCUUAUGGUAUUUAUUUGUGGCAUCACAAAUAGAUUAAAGAUUUAUUGGUAAAAGAUGGCUAUGCGUCUUAUUAGCUAGAUGGUAAGGUAACGGCUUACCAUGGCAAUGAUAAGUAGGGGCCCUGAGAGGGGGAUCCCCCACACUGGUACUGAGACACGGACCAGACUCCUACGGGAGGCAGCAGUGAGGAAUAUUGGUCAAUGGAGGCAACUCUGAACCAGCCAUGCCGCGUGCAGGAAGACUGCCCUAUGGGUUGUAAACUGCUUUUAUACAGGAAGAAACACCCCGACGUGUCGGGGCUUGACGGUACUGUAAGAAUAAGCACCGGCUAACUCCGUGCCAGCCGCCGCCGUAACAC
rnacentral:rRNA from 1 species